UACGGAAGGCAGCAGUGGGGAAUAUUGCACAAUGGGCGCAAGCCUGAUGCAGCCAUGCCGCGUGUAUGAAGAAGGCCUUCGGGUUGUAAAGUACUUUCAGUCGUGAGGAAGGUGUUAAGGUUAAUAACCUUAGCAAUUGACGUUAGCGACAGAAGAAGCACCGGCUAACUCCGUGCCAGCAGCCGCGGUAAUACGGAGGGUGCGAGCGUUAAUCGGAAUUACUGGGCGUAAAGGGCACGCAGGCGGUUAAUUAAGUUGGAUGUGAAAUCCCCGGGCUUAACCUGGGAAUGGCAUUCAAGACUGGUUAGCUAGAGUCUUGUAGAGGGGGUAGAAUUCCAUGUGUAGCGGUGAAAUGCGUAGAGAUGUGGAGGAAUACCGGUGGCGAAGGCGGCCCCCUGGACAAAGGACUGACGCUCAUGUGCGAAAGCGUGGGGAGCAAACAGGAUUAGAUACC
rnacentral:rRNA from 1 species